GCCCCUCCGGGCUCUGCAGGGAGGGGCUCCGGGCCAGCACGUCCCGGCGGAAGUUCUCCCUCAUCCAGCCGUAGACCAGACUGUGCAGGAAGCCCUGCAGGGACACGCUCAGGGCCUGGGGGACACAGGGACAGAGGGUCAGGGCUCCCGGUCCCUGCAGGCACAGCCCGGGCAGGCUGGCACAGGACACGGCGGGACUUUUCUCUUGUUGUGGCCAAUUACAGCACAUCCAGGCCCUGGGAAGAGCCAAGGGGUGAAAUCCCAACCCAAAAUCCAGUAGGAAGAGCCACGCUGGGCCCAGGCCGUGUCCUCACCCUGCCUGGGGGGUCCCCAAGGGCUGUCACAGCUCCCACGUGCGAUGGGGACAAAUGUCCAACCUGGGAGCCCUGGAAAAGGGUCUUUACUCACUGUGGACACGUAGAGGACAAAGAGCGAGGCAGGGCUGAUGCUGGUGAAGGAGAGGAUGGUGAGGAGGAAGGCUGUGGGUGGGACACAGAAGGACAUUCCUUGGUGGGACACCCUCACUGUGACCCUGCGGGGCUGGGGGCUUUGGGACACCCCCCGGCCUUGCCUGGCGUCCAGCAGAGCAGGAAAACCAGCUGGAAGUACAGCGAGGCUUUGCUGACGCUGUGGCCGCUCCUGCCCCCGAAGCCGCCGUCCCUGUCCAGGCUCAGCAGCGGCAGCGCCGCGUUCCCCCGGCACCGGAGCCGCACCCGCCGGUACAGGAGCUGGGGGGCGUCCGGGGGUCAGCGGGGCGCUGGGGACCCCCAGUGCCUCCCCCCGAGCCGGGACCUCACCGAGCAGCAGCCGAGCACCAGCAGCAGGUACAGCAGGAAGAUGAUUUUCUCCUCCAGCCCCGCGUUCUUGCCCCCGCCGGACUGGGAGGCAACGGGAAAUGAGCGGGGCCGGGCCAGCGACCCCCGCGGCCCCGGAGCCCCCCGGCCCCGCAGGGAGGGUGGGUGGCAGCGAGGGAGGGCAGCGCCCACCUGGGAGCAGAUGUCCUGGUUCGGGUGGAUCAGGAGGAGGCAGCUGCAAGGACAGAGCGGUGCUGGAGGUCCCAAAGCCUCCCCCGGUGUCCCGGCAGCGAUGCCCCGGGCAGGGCGGGGGCGGAGGGGCCGUACCUGGAGCAGUAAAGGCUGA
ensembl:lncRNA